rnacentral:rRNA from 1 species
CGAGGAAACUUGUGCUAAUACCGGAUAAGUCUUUACGGAGAAAGCUUUAUGCACCAUUGGAUGAGCCUGCACUUGAUUAGUUUGUUGGUGGGGUAAUGGCCUACCAAGACUGUGAUCAAUAGCUGAUUUGAGAGGAUGAUCAGCCACAUUGGGACUGAGACACGGCCCAAACUCCUACGGGAGGCAGCAGUGGGGAAUCUUGCACAAUGGAGGAAACUCUGAUGCAGCGAUGCCGCGUGAGUGAAGAAGGCCCUUGGGUUGUAAAGCUCUUUCGUCGGGGAAGAAAAUGACUGUACCCGAAUAAGAAGGUCCGGCUAACUUCGUGCCAGCAGCCGCGGUAAUACGAAGGGACCUAGCGUAGUUCGGAAUUACUGGGCUUAAAGAGUUCGUAGGUUGUUGAAAAAGUUAGUGGUGAAAUCCCAGAGCUUAACUCUGGAACUGCCAUUAAAACUUUUCAGCUAGAGUAUGAUAGAGGAAAGCAGAAUUUCUAGUGUAGAGGUGAAAUUCGUAGAUAUUAGAAAGAAUACCAAUUGCGAAGGCAGCUUUCUGGAUCAUUACUGACACUGAGGAACGAAAGCAUGGGUAGCGAAGAGGAUUAGAUACCCUCGUAGUCCAUGCCGUAAACGAUGUGUGUUAGACGUUGGAAAUUUAUUUUCAGUGUCGCAGGGAAACCGAUAAACACACCGCCUGGGGAGUACGACCGCAAGGUUAAAACUCAAAUGAAUUGACGGGGACCCGCACAAGUAGUGGAGCAUGUGGUUUAAUUCGAAGAUACGCGCAGAACCUUACCAACACUUGACAUGUUCGUCGCGACUCUAAGAGAUUAGAGUUUUCGGUUCGGCCGGACGAAACACAGGUGCUGCAUGGCUGUCGUCAGCUCGUGUCGUGAGAUGUUGGGUUAAGUCCCGCAACGAGCGCAACCCUCACUUUUAGUUGCCAUCAUUAAGUUGGGCACUCUGAAAGAACUGCCAGUGAUAAGCUGGAGGAAGGUGGGGAUGACGUCAAGUCCUCAUGGCCCUUACGUGUUGGGCUACACACGUGCUACAAUGGUAUCUACAACAGGAAGCAAGACUGCGAAGUUAAGCAAAUCCCUAAAAGAUACCUCAGUUCGGAUUGCACUCUGCAACUCGAGU